UAACAGGAUUAGAUACCCUGGUAGUCCACCCCGUAAACGUUGGGAACUAGUUGUGGGGUCCAUUCCACGGAUUCCGUGACGCAGCUAACGCAUUAAGUUCCCCGCCUGGGGAGUACGGCCGCAAGGCUAAAACUCAAAGGAAUUGACGGGGACCCGCACAAGCGGCGGAGCAUGCGGAUUAAUUCGAUGCAGCGCGAAGAACCUUACCAAGGCUUGACAUAUAGAGGAAACGUCUGGAAACAGUCGCCCCGCAAGGUCUCUAUACAGGUGGUGCAUGGUUGUCGUCAGCUCGUGUCGUGAGAUGUUGGGUUAAGUCCCGCAACGAGCGCAACCCUCGUUCUAUGUUGCCAGCACGUAAUGGUGGGAACUCAUGAGAUACUGCCGGGGUCAACUCGGAGGAAGGUGGGGAUGACGUAA
rnacentral:rRNA from 1 species